rnacentral:rRNA from 1 species
UUGGGCGUAAGGGCUCGUAGGUGGUUGAUCGCGUCGGAAGUGUAAUCUUGGGGCUUAACCCUGAGCGUGCUUUCGAUACGGGUUGACUUGAGGAAGGUAGGGGAGAAUGGAAUUCCUGGUGGAGCGGUGGAAUGCGCAGAUAUCAGGAGGAACACCAGUGGCGAAGGCGGUUCUCUGGGCCUUUCCUGACGCUGAGGAGCGAAAGCGUGGGGAGCGAACAGGCUUAGAUACCCUGGUAGUCCACGCUGUAAACGGUGGGUACUAGGUGUGGGGUCCAUUCCACGGGUUCCGUGCCGUAGCUAACGCUUUAAGUACCCCGCCUGGGGAGUACGGCCGCAAGGCUAAAACUCAAAGGAAUUGACGGGGCCCCGCACAAGCGGCGGAGCAUGCGGAUUAAUUCGAUGCAACGCGUAGAACCUUACCUGGGUUUGACAUGGAUCGGGAGUGCUCAGAGAUGGGUGUGCCUCUUUUGGGGUCGGUUCACAGGUGGUGCAUGGCUGUCGUCAGCUCGUGUCGUGAGAUGUUGGGUUAAGUCCCGCAACGAGCGCAACCCUUGUUCACUGUUGCCAGCACGUUAUGGUGGGGACUCAGUGGAGACCGCCGGGGUCAACUCGGAGGAAGGUGGGGAUGACGUCAAGUCAUCAUGCCCCUUAUGUCCAGGGCUUCACGCAUGCUACAAUGGCUGGUACAGAGAGUGGCGAGCCUGUGAGGGUGAGCGAAUCUCGGAAAGCCGGUCUCAGUUCGGAUUGGGGUCUGCAACUCGACCUCAUGAAGUCG